AAAAUCCGUUGGUUUCACGGAACCGUGAGGGUUC
rnacentral:tRNA from 1 species